UACGAAGGGGGCUAGCGUUGUUCGGAAUCACUGGGCGUAAAGCGCACGCAGGCGGAUCGUUAAGUCAGGGGUGAAAUCCUGGAGCUCAACUCCAGAACUGCCUUUGAUACUGGAGAGCUUGAGUCCGGGAGAGGUGAGUGGAACUCCGAGUGUAGAGGUGAAAUUCGUAGAUAUUCGGAAGAACACCAGUGGCGAAGGCGGCUCACUGGACUGGUAUUGACGCUGAGGUGCGAAAGCGUGGGGAGCAAACAGG
rnacentral:rRNA from 1 species